rnacentral:rRNA from 1 species
ACGUAGGGGGCGAGCGUUGUCCGGAAUUAUUGGGCGUAAAGCGCGCGCAGGCGGCUCUUUAAGUCUGAUGUGAAAGCCCGCGGCUCAACCGCGGAGGGUCAUUGGAAACUGGGGAGCUUGAGUGCAGGAGAGGAGAGUGGAAUUCCACGUGUAGCGGUGAAAUGCGUAGAGAUGUGGAGGAACACCAGUGGCGAAAGCGGCUCUCUGGCCUGUCACUGACGCUGAGGCGCGAAAGCGUGGGGAGCAAACAGGA